GGCUGGACCAAGGGCAAUGAUGUUUACAACUAAUUGAUCACAACCAGUUACAGGUUUCUUUGUUUUUUGCACUCCCAUUGUUUUACUUGACUAGCUUGAA
rnacentral:Y_RNA from 1 species